CCUACGGGAGGCAGCAGUGGGGAAUAUUGCACAAUGGGGGAAACCCUGAUGCAGCGACGCCGCGUGAGUGAAGAAGUAAUUCGUUACGUAAAGCUCUAUCAGCAGGGAAGUAAAUGACGGUACGUGAGUAAGUAGCCCCGGCUAACUACGUGCCAGCAGCCGCGGCAAUACGGAGGGGGCCAGCGUUAUCCGGAUUUACUGGGUGUAAAGGGAGCGUAGGCGGUGUGCCAAGUCCGGAGUGAAAUGCCGCAGCUUAACUGCGGAAUUGCAUUGGAAACUGGCGAACUGGAGUGCAGGAGAGGUAAGCGGAAUUCGUAGUGUAGCGGUGAAAUGCGUAGAUAUUAGGAGGAACACCGGUGGCGAAGGCGGCUUACUGGACCGUAACUGACGUUGAGGCUCGAAAGCGUGGGGAGCAAACAGGAUUAGAUACCCGGGUAGUC
rnacentral:rRNA from 1 species